GCAAGCAAUCAGUCUGAAAAUAUUGAUGGACAAGCGGCUUGUAAAAUGAAUGAAUUUGUAGAUAUUUCUAUUGAAAUGGAUCAAUUAUCUCCAUUUAACAUACAUCUGUUUUUUUUUUUUUUUUAAAGAAAAUGGUUGGCCUGGAGAUACAGAAUUAUUAAAAAGUGUUGGGCAGUCGAAGGUUUGACACAGUUUACACAUGGAGAAAUGAGAACGACAGCGACAGUUUGAACAGCUACAUAAAUGGCUUGAGAAGGACCAGUCAGCCCGUCGAGGGGGAACUAUUCACAAUGAGGAAAACGCGACGAAGAGAGCGGCAAAAUGUCAUUGUUUCUGUCUCUUUACUUCCAUAUUUUUACAGGAUAUUCUUUUUAUCCAAGUAUUUUCCCCAAUUGCUAAAUAAAUGGCAUGGUCAAGACAAAUAACAAUCUUGUGCUAAAUGGAAUAUGAAAUAAUAAAAAUCCAUUUAUUCAAGACGACAUGGCAAAAUUACUACAUAAUGGUCAAAACUGUCGACUUCACCUUUACUGUCGCACCUCCCGAACGAUAUUUUAUGACACCUAAAUCGGACAUAUGUCA